rnacentral:rRNA from 1 species
UACGUAGGGGGCGAGCGUUGUCCGGAAUUAUUGGGCGUAAAGGGCGCGUAGGCGGCUGGGCAAGUCAAAGGUGAAAUCCCUCGGCUCAACUGAGGAACUGCCUUUGAAACUGCCUGGCUUGAGGCCGGGAGGGGGUAGCGGAAUUCCCAGUGUAGCGGUGAAAUGCGUAGAUAUUGGGAGGAACACCAGUGGCGAAGGCGGCUACCUGGACCGGUACUGACGCUGAGGUGCGAAAGCGUGGGGAGCAAACAGG